AGCGGCGAACGGGUGAGUAACACGUAGGUUAUCUGCCCAUCAGACGGGGACAACGAUUGGAAACGAUCGCUAAUACCGGAUAGGACGAAAGUUUAAAGGUGCUUCGGCACCACUGAUGGAUGAGCCUGCGGCGCAUUAGCUAGUUGGUAGGGUAAAGGCCUACCAAGGCGACGAUGCGUAGCCGACCUGAGAGGGUGAACGGCCACACUGGGACUGAGACACGGCCCAGACUCCUACGGGAGGCAGCAGUAGGGAAUCUUCGGCAAUGGGCGAAAGCCUGACCGAGCAACGCCGCGUGAAUGAUGAAGGCCUUCGGGUUGUAAAAUUCUGUUAUAAGGGAAGAAUGGCUCUAGUAGGAAAUGGCUAGAGUGUGACGGUACCUUAUGAGAAAGCCACGGCUAACUACGUGCCAGCAGCCGCGGUAAUACGUAGGUGGCGAGCGUUAUCCGGAAUUAUUGGGCGUAAAGAGCGCGCAGGUGGUUGAUUAAGUCUGAUGUGAAAGCCCACGGCUUAACCGUGGAGGGUCAUUGGAAACUGGUCAACUUGAGUGCAGAAGAGGGAAGUGGAAUUCCAUGUGUAGCGGUGAAAUGCGUAGAGAUAUGGAGGAACACCAGUGGCGAAGGCGGCUUCCUGGUCUGUAACUGACACUGAGGCGCGAAAGCGUGGGGAGCAAACAGGAUUAGAUACCCUGGUAGUCCACGCCGUAAACGAUGAGUACUAGGUGU
rnacentral:rRNA from 1 species